GAGACACCCUUAUAGACCAUGACUUGCUUCAGUGAGGCUUUAGUGCUCACUGAGUCUGCCCUUUGAGUAUGUCUUU
rfam:Myotis brandtii contig265430, whole genome shotgun sequence.